AGUGAACGCUGGCGGUAGGCCUAACACAUGCAAGUCGAACGGCAGCACAGGAGAGCUUGCUCUCUGGGUGGCGAGUGGCGGACGGGUGAGGAAUACAUCGGAAUCUACUCUGUCGUGAGGGAUAACGUAGGGAAACUUACGCUAAUACCGCAUACGACCUACGGGUGAAAGCAGGGGACCUUCGGGCCUUGCGCGAUUGAAUGCGCCGAUGUCGGAUUAGCUAGUUGGCGGGGUAAAGGCCCACCAAGGCGACGAUCCGUAGCUGGUCUGAGAGGAUGAUCAGCCGCACUGGAACUGAGACACGGUCCAGACUCCUACGGGAGGCAGCAGUGGGGAAUAUUGGACAAUGGGCGCAAGCCUGAUCCAGCCAUACCGCGUGGGUGAAGAAGGCCUUCGGGUUGUAAAGCCCUUUUGUUGGGAAAGAAAUCCAGCUGGCUAAUACCCGGUUGGGAUGACGGUACCCAAAGAAUAAGCACCGGCUAACUUCGUGCCAGCCGCCGCCGUAA
rnacentral:rRNA from 1 species